rnacentral:rRNA from 1 species
GUCGAGAAUAAUUCACAAUGGGGGCAACCCUGAUGGAGCGACGCCGCGUGGAGGAUAAGGUCUUCGGAUUGUAAACUCCUGUCAUGCGUGAACAAGGUUGCUUGGUUAAUACCUGGGCAAAUUGAUGGUAACGCAAGAGGAAGAGACGGCUAACUCUGUGCCAGCAGCCGCGGUAAUACAGAGGUCUCAAGCGUUGUUCGGAAUCACUGGGCGUAAAGGGUGCGUAGGUGGCGUGGUAAGUCAGAUGUGAAAGCCCGGGGCUCAACCUCGGAACUGCAUCCGAUACUGCCAUGCUAGAGUACUGGAGAGGUGACUAGAAUUCUCGGUGUAGCAGUGAAAUGCGUAGAUAUCGAGAGGAAUACCAAAGGCGUAGGCAGGUCACUGGACAGUUACUGACACUGAGGCACGAAGGCCAGGGGAGCGAACGGGAUUAGAAACCCUUGUAGUCC